AGCAAAAUGCAAGGCCAAAAUGAAGAAAAAUUAGAAGGAGGAGUUACUAAUAUACAAGAAGAAGAAAUUACUUAUGUAAGAAAAAGGAAAGUUGAAAACGUUGAAGCGGAAGUAAUCGAUAAAUCGGAAUUUGAGAAGCAUAUUGCAAGUAAAAGUGUUGCUAUAAGACAUAGAAAACUUCCAACAAGGCUUCAACCACCUCGAAAAUUGCAAAAAAAAGGAAGGAGGAGAAAAAGAUCAAGAAGAAGGAAAAGAUCAAAAAGAAGAAGAGGGUAAUAAUGUUGAGGAUGAUGACGAGAAUAAUGAUAGUGAAGAUGAUGGUGAGGAGGAUAAUAAGGGUGAUGUAAAGAUGAAAGAGAAAGAUGAAAAAGAGGAGAUGGAAGAUGAUAGUGAGGAGGAACAAAAAAUCAAUAAAAAAAA